rnacentral:misc_RNA from 1 species
AAGUCGUAACAAGGUUUCCGUAGGUGAACCUGCGGAAGGAUCAUUACAACGUAUCCACGUAUAAACCUUUGUGAACAUGUUUAACCGCGUAGUUGUGGUGGCGCAAAGUUGGACUGCGAUUCGGAAAUAAAGCAGUUCAACCCGCAUCUCUCUCGCAGAGAUGGGCUAUCACGGCUGUGUUUUUCCGUUUUACAUAUUAACCACUGUAACUUUCUAUGUACUUACGAGCGAACUGGCGAAAGCUGUUCAAUCGAUAAAUAUAAGAAAUUAUAGCACAACUCUUAGCAACGGAUAUCUAGGCUCUC